rnacentral:sRNA from 1 species
GUACCGUGCCCUCGUCCAUUCCAUUCGGCCAUUCCCCUCUAGGAUGGGAUUUCUGCUGGUAGUCUUUGCUUUUCGAGCAUCCGUUUCUUGCAAAAGAUGGGCGAUUAGUUGAAGAAUUAAUGGUCUUCGAAGACUAAUUACUCGUAUUAACUCACGAGGGGGAAAGAAAAACAUGUCACACGUGUAGGCCACGCUGACAAGAAACUCGAUCUCUUCUUCUAUGGUUUAGUUGAAAAUUAUAUAUUUUUAGUUUAUUUUUUUAUUAGAGGGUACGUUUUUUCUGUUGAUCAUGGUAGCAGUAAUUGGCUACUAAUAAUUGCUACCUAAACUAUGAAAACGGUAGAUACGACGAAAUGAUGUUGAAAGUUUUUAAGCGAUGAUAAACAGUGGGUGAAAAUAUGCUUAAUCACUAUUCUGUAUCUGUAGCAGAACGAGCAAAACCUUCGGAGCGAAUGCUGUAGGAAAAAAACUGAAAAAAAAAAUCUGGUGUCCAAAGUCCUUGCUAGAUAGGCAGUCCAAUCAAGGCAGGCCCGGCUAAACCACGGAUAUUUUCUUCAUCUAUCACACAGCUUACAGAUCCAAUGAACCAUUCCAAGAAUCUCGCUAAGUGAUUAGACAGAUCGCUUUGGCAGCCUCCGUGAUAAAAUCCCCUCCAAGUUGGCCAAUUUGCCGAUUUUUUGUGCCUCAUCAAACUGUGCGAGUCUUGACAAGGCAGGUCAGGUAAGGUGACACAACACAACCCCACACAAAUGACACAAACAGAGCAUCGAAACAUCGCCAUCUCCAGCUCCGAGAGCCGUAAACAAAUCUCGUGGAGCAGAAUCCAUGCCUUGCCUCGGCGCGUCGACUUGGACGGCACAGACAGAGAAAAAAAAAGAGAGAAAAAGUAGUAGUAAAGCGAAGCAACGAUAAGUACUAGACCACUAGAGCAGUAGGAGAAGUCGAGAAGAGGAUGAUUUUGGCUUUCUUUUUCCGCCGCUUGGUUUGGAGUUUGGUGUGGUAGCGCCUGCCUAGUUGGAACCCUCCCCUUGCAGGCGAGCACCAAGCAGGCAGCCGAUCUCGUCGGCGCCACAAGAAAAAUCGUUGCUGUCGCUGGUGCGGCUUGCAGGGCCGGGACCGCUCGCCGCCUCAGCCAUCAUCUCGUGUUGGUUUUUGUUG